GACUAGUUGGGUUGGGUAUGGGUUUUGUUUGGUUUGGUUUUUAGUUUUACGAGGGUGUAGUACCUAAAACCUAAGUUUUGUUUGGUUAUUUGCUGUAGCAAAAUGUCGCAUUACGUCAUCUGUUCUUUAUUCUGAAGGGAACUAUAUCUUGAACUAUUGUCACGAGGCAUGUAUCCAGUCUCUGUGUUUAAAUGUUAUCGACUUGAGUGUGUUGGUGGAAAAACUAUUUACUAA
rnacentral:lncRNA from 1 species